GAAAAAGCUAAACAUCAAGGGAGGUUGUGUUGAUGAUUUUCUUUCUCAUUUGAUGUGCUGUUGCUGUGCUCUUGUCCAAGAAUUGCGCGAAGUCAAGAUACGUGGGACACAUGGUAUAGAGAAGACGAAAAUAAGCCCUCCAACCACUCAAUUCAUGGAAUCCUAGGAAGCUAAACCUGGCUUUUUUAGCACAAAAUAUCAGAAAGCACUAUAUGGAGGUUCGGUGUGUAUAAUUGACCCAGAGUUGUUCAUUCGUUUACAUGGUUACUGGUGACUAUACAUGUAUGUGAUGUAAGAAUCUGUUCUAUGUGGUGUACAUGCAGGAAUAUUAUGGUGUAACUAUGGAUGAAUAUCAUGACGUAUUUUUUGUGAAAAUAAAAG
rnacentral:misc_RNA from 1 species